rnacentral:lncRNA from 1 species
ACAGCAGAGGAAAUGGCAAUGAGCAAAGAGCAGAGUCCUUGGCUUCCCUUUUUCAGAAUCUUCUAGGCCAUGCUCAUUUGUGCCUCUGUGGACAGCCUCUGUCUGCAGAUCAGAGCACCAUUGCCAGUUGCCAAGAGGAACUUUCUCUGAGGCUUCUGGAAGAGGAAUCCAUGCUGCUGUGGCUUUUGCUGCUGGUUCUAGGGCAGUACAAACCAGUUCAGCCUUGAUGUUUCCCGGAGUCAGGCCUCACCUGCUGUCUCCUGUCCACACAGGGAUCCCUGUGUCUUUUGUCUCCAUGGAAACGCUACCUCCAAGGGGGCAAGUGGUUGAAGAGAAGAUGCUGGCUGGUCCUUGUCUGUUCUGAGUCUGAAGGCACAGGGGGCAUCAUGUUUUCCUGACAGAGAGGACACAAAGGGGAGCCUGGAGAGGAAAACUUGGCUUUUCUAAGUCUCCCGGGGCCCAGGCUGCCAUGGGGGAAGUGGUGGAGCUUCACUGUGAGGCCCAGAGGGGCUCUCCCCCAAGCCUGUACCAGUUCUAUCAUGAGGAUGUCACCCUGCGGAGCAGCUCAGCAUCCUCUGGAGAAGGAACAUCCCACAACCUCUCUGCAGAACAUUCUGGAAAAUCCUGUGUCAGGCCAACAAUAGCCUAGGAGCCCAGCCCAGUGAGGCAGUGUUUUUCAAUGUCAUUCAGCUUGAGCCUUGGCUAUGGGCUCUCUUUCAAAAGAUAAACUCCAAGCAUGCCAGUGUAUGAGGAAGAGUAUUUCGUGAAGACUGGAUUUCCUCAGUGACUUACAGUGGAAACAGAGACAGGAGGUCAUGAAAAUUAGUUGCUAGCCUCCCACUAGCCUGAGAGGAGUGGGCUAUACUCCAGGGCAUUGGACAAAUAACUGAACAUCACUUAACCAUUUCAAACUAAGGCAAAAUGCACUGGAACGCCUGCCCGAUUCCGCACUUCACACCCCUUCCUCUGGAGUAUCUUCAGGAUUCCAGCCUGAGUCCCUGACCUCUGAGCCUCACCCACAGAACACUCUCCUCAGAGGUCCCCUAGGACAAAGGCCAUGCCACCUUCCGGUUGCGGUGACUGGGGGACGCUGCUUGGUUUCCUGGCAACUACUGCUCUGUUUUUUACCUGUGGCUCCAGAGGAAGUCAGAAACCUGUCCAGCCCAGAUCUCCGUGAACGCCUCUGCUGCAGCUCACCUAACCCGGCCAGGGACCAGGAGCCCAUGGAAAGCAAUGAUGAGUACUGAGGAAAGAUGUAGGGAUGAGGUGAGGCUUGCAUGGAUGUUCCAGUCUUCCCAGGUCCUGCCGAGGCUCGUUUGGGGUUUCCAAGAUAAGUAUGAAGCAUGUGGUCAGAAAAAGUGCCAAUGUGAGCCCUUGGCCACCAUGUUCUUCCUAACCGUGUCCACUUUCUCAGUGAAUCCAGCGUGUGUGUUUUUUUCCCCCAGGUCUAGAGCACCCAUCUGAAGAUUUAGGCAGUGCUUAUUUUUUAAAUUAAGGAUUCCUCUGCUGUCUAUUUAGAGGUGAAGAAAGAACAGCCCACAGCAGCCUCAGCUGAGCAGCAGUAAAAGGAACCUGUAGUUGGAGCUCUUCUUAAGAAGUCUGAAAAUCAGGAGUUCCCAUCGUGGCACGCGGAAACAAAUCCGACUAGGAACCAUGAGGUUGAGGGUUCAAUCCCUGGCCUUGCUCAGGGGGUUGGGGAUCCGGCGUUGCUGUGAGCUGUGGUGUAGGUCACAGACAUGGCUUGGAUCUGGCAUUGCUGUGGCUGUGGGGUAGGCUGACAGUUGUAGCUCCGAUUAGACCUCUAGCCUGGGACCCUGCAUAUGCUGCAGGUGCGGCCCUAAAAAGACAAAAAAAAAAAAAGUCUGAAAAUCAGAUAAUAACAGAUCUUCAGACUUGGUAAUGGUAUUUAUUCUGGAGCUGAAUCUCAGCUUCUGCUUUCAAAUGGUGCAUGUGCUCCCCAAUUAACCACAGUAUCUGCCGCUUGGUAUUGUUUCCUUGAAUCU